UUGGCAGGAAAGGUCAACUUCUACUGCCAUACAACCAGCACCUGCCUCUGUUGUUGUGGGCUAAUAAAAUAAAAUAAAGUCCUUACUUUUAGUGUGUUUGUUUGUUUGUUUGGUGGUAUUUGAAAAUGACUUUAUUUUUUCUUUUUCUUUUUUUUUUUAUUUUUAACUCAGGCACUUUCUGCAAUGUGGAUUAAAUUCCAGUCCAGUCUGUCCACAUUAUCAGUAAUGAAAUGUGGGAUUUGACACCUUGAGAUGUAAGCCUGCUGUUUCAUUCUCAACACUGUAUGACUACCCUAUUUUCAGUUGAAAAGUUUCACAGAAAUAUAUGAAGAAUUAAGAAUCUAUCGUUUGGCCUCAGCAAGCCAUGAAUCAGUUUUGUACAAGCAAAAGUGAAGAUGGAUACCCUCUGGUGUGGCAGACUUGUUACGAGAAGAGUAGGAAGUAGAAAACUACUAACAGAUACAAAGGUUUACACUGUUUGUGUCUGGAACAAGGCAGCCCCAGCCUCUCCACACAGAGGCUGCCCCAGCUCUUCCCAUUGCCUAUACCUGGACAUGGACAAGCAGUUCAUUCUGUCUUGAGGAACGGGCUGUAGUCUGGUCACAGAACUGAAAGAAUAUCACUAAAACUCCUGAUGAGAAACAGAAAAAUGUGCUGUACACUGUGGCUGACUGCUAGUCUUGGAUUCAUACCCAAGAAACUCAGUGACCUUUUUCUACCAUCUGAUCCUUCUGCUGCCUGAGUCACCUCCUGAAAACCAGUCUUCUACAAGCUGUCUAUCUACGCUCUCAUUUCAGCUAUAGGAGGUAUUAAAAAAACCAUUACUACAUGGUGCUUUUCUUCAAUAUCUUCAAGGUAUUUUCAUGUUAUAUAAUAUACAGACAUAGCACUUUCAUCCAUAAAGGAUAUUUAUAAUCAUUAUUUUUUCUAGAAAUAAUAUAGUUACUUUAUAUCAGAGUGACUAGAGAAACAACACUGUGAAGUUGUAUAUGUUCAAUAAAGGAAUUAACAAGAUGAAAAAUAUUCUGAAC
rnacentral:lncRNA from 1 species